rnacentral:tRNA from 1 species
GGCCCUAUCGUCUAGCGGUUAGGACAAGUCCCUUUCACGGAUUAAACAGGGGUUCGAUUCCCCUUAGGGUCACAA